rnacentral:rRNA from 1 species
UUAAAUUGAAGAGUUUGAUCAUGGCUCAGAUUGAACGCUGGCGGCAGGCCUAACACAUGCAAGUCGAACGGUAACAGGAAGCAGCUUGCUGCUUUGCUGACGAGUGGCGGACGGGUGAGUAAUGUCUGGGAAACUGCCUGGUGGAGGGGGAUAACUACUGGA